AGAAAAAUCUAAAAAAAAAUUUGUUCACCUUCCUAUGUUGUUGGUUUUCACAUCUUUUCAUGGACUAAUGUCAAAAUUAUAAACACAACAAUGUAAACAAACGUGUUUUGGGGAGUGAAACGUACGAAAGAUUCCCAUCUUGCUAAACAAGUAUUUUUGUUUGAAAUGAUACUACUACCAAUCGAAGACAAUAAGAAUACUUCCUUAGGCGUAUUUUAUUGGUGAAUUAUAGCUAUCUCCAAGUUGUUAACUGUGCAAUCAUACUUAUAUCAAAAUCAGCUGUCAACAAAAAGAAUAAUUACUUGAAAGAAAAAAAUUAAAAUGGAGAAAGAAACAAGAAGAUCUUAUUAGAGUAUUUAUUGGACUCAUUAUCAAGCAGUGAAGAAUGCAGUUCAUCAUCUGAACUUGAUCGCUUAAUGAGUUCUGAUGAUUCUUCAUCUGAUGAGAAGCACGCAAGUACAGCCCAAAUGCAAACAAUAUUCUUGGAUUCAACAUGAAAGACUUUGUUAGUUAAUAAUAUAUUUCCCACAUUCCCAUAUCUCCACUUGCACCUCUCCCACAUUCGUUAUCUCUACUUGUACCUCUUAUUUUCCCACGUUCUCGCACCUUACUUAUUUUCCAGUUCCUGCACGCGAAGUGUCAUAUUGCAAUAAUUUUAAUGUAAUUUAAGAAAAGCUUGCAAAUGCAAAAGCAAAAUGUUUUAAUCGCUUUGCAAGCGAAAAUAGAAUUAAGUAAAAAUAUAUUAAAUAAAGUCAGUUUAAAAACAGAACUCAA